rnacentral:rRNA from 1 species
AGCCGCGGUAAUUCCAGCUCCAAUAGCGUAUACUAAAGUUGUUGCGGUUAAAAAGCUCGUAGUUGGAUCUUGGAAUGUGUUCAAGCGGGUCAGCUUCUGGCUGUGCGCUGCUUGACGUGUUCUUCUAUUUGGUUUUGGUGCGGUGCGCUUAACUGCGUGUCGCUCCCGGCCGAAACGUUUACCUUGAAAAAAUUAGAGUGUUCAAAGCAGACCUGUUUGAGUCUGAAUAUUCGUGCAUGGAAUAACGAAAUAUGAAUUCGGUUCUAUUUUGUUGGUUUUCGGAACUCGAGUUAAUGAUCAAGAGGGACAGACGGGGGCAUUCGUACUCUGCCGUUAGAGGUGAAAUUCUUGGAUCGGCGGAAGACGCGCAACUGCGAAAGCAUUUGCCAAGAAUGUUUUCUUUAAUCAAGAACGAUAGUCGGAGGUUCGAAGACGAUCAGAUACCGUCCUAGUUUCGACUGUAAACUAUGCCAGCUAACGAUCAGACAGAGUUCUCUACGACUUGUCUGGCAGUUUCCGGGAAACCAAAGCGUUUGGGUUCCGGGGGAAGUAUGGUUGCAAAGCUGAAACUUAAAGGAAUUGACGGAAGGGCACCACCAGGAGUGGAGCCUGCGGCUUAAUUUGACUCAACACGGGGAAACUCACCCGGCCCGGACACAGUGAGGAUUGACAGAUUGAGAGUUCUUUCUUGAUUCUGUGGGUGGUGGUGCAUGGCCGUUCUUAGUUGGUGGAGCGAUUUGUCUGGUUAAUUCCGAUAACGAACGAGACUCUGGCAUGUUAAAUAGUCGCGGAAGUGCGUAUGCACUUGCCGAAUUGACUUCUUAGAGGGACUAGUGAUUUUAAUUCACACGAGAUUGAGCAAUAACAGGUCUGUGAUGCC